rnacentral:misc_RNA from 1 species
UUNAUUAAGAACAUGAUUACUGGUACUUCUCAAGCAGAUUGUGCUAUUUUGAUUAUUGCUGGUGGUGUCGGUGAAUUCGAAGCUGGUAUUUCCAAGGAUGGUCAAACUAGAGAACACGCUUUAUUAGCAUUCACCUUAGGUGUUAAGCAAUUGAUUGUUGCUAUCAACAAGAUGGAUUCUGUUAAGUGGGAUGAAAAGAGAUUUGAAGAAAUUGUCAAGGAAACCCAAAACUUCAUCAAGAAGGUUGGUUACAACCCAAAGACUGUUCCAUUCGUUCCAAUUUCUGGUUGGAAUGGUGACAACAUGAUUGAACCAUCUUCUAACUGUCCAUGGUACAAGGGUUGGACUAAGGAAACCAAGGCAGGUGUUGUCAAGGGUAAGACCUUAUUAGAAGCUAUUGAUGCUAUNGAACCACCUGUCAGACCAACUGAUAAGCCAUUAAGAUUACCAUUACAAGAUGUUUACAAGAUUGGUGGUAUUGGUACUGUGCCAGUCGGUAGAGUUGAAACCGGUAUUAUNAAGCCAGGUAUGGUUGUUGUUUUCGCACCAUCUGGUGUUACCACUGAAGUCAAGUCCGUUGAAAUGCACCAUGAACAAUUAGAAGAAGGUGUCCCAGGUGACAAUGUUGGUUUCAACGUCAAGAACGUCUCUGUUAAGGAUAUCAAGAGAGGUAACGUUUGUGGUGACUCCAAGAAUGACCCACCACAAGGUUGUGCUUCCUUCAAUGCUCAAGUCAUUGUCUUGAACCACCCUGGUCAAAUUUCUGCUGGUUACUCUCCAGUUUUAGAUUGUCACACUGCCCACAUUGCAUGUAAAUUCGAUGAAUUAAUUGAAAAGAUUGACAGAAGAACUGGUAAGUCCGUUGAAGACCAUCCAAAGUCUGUUAAGUCUGGUGAUGCAGCUAUCGUUAAGAUGGUUCCAACCAAGCCAAUGUGUGUUGAAGCUUUCACUGAAUACCCACCAUUAGGUAGAUUCGCAGUC